GUUCGAAUCUGUAUCCUGCCAGAAAUGAUGCUGCUGGAGAAAAAUUGAUUCCAUAGAUUUUAAAGAAACUUUCUCUCUCGCAUGGGAAUCAGACGUCAUUCAAAAGCAACUUGAAAGAAGAUUAGAUUUGGUGGUACCCAGCUCAAUAGAAGGCCAGAGACAUCACAUGACAAGGGAUAGCAC